rnacentral:rRNA from 1 species
AUUGAACGCUGGCGGCAGGCCUAACACAUGCAAGUCGAACGAGUGGCGGACGGGUGAGUAAUGUCUGGGAAACUGCCCGAUGGAGGGGGAUAACUACUGGAAACGGUAGCUAAUACCGCAUACCAUCGGAUGUGCCCAGAUGGGCUUAGCUAGUAGGUUGGGUAACGGCUCACCUAGGCGACGCUCCCUAGCUGGUCUGAGAGGAGGACCAGCCACACUGGAACUGAGACACGGUCCAGACUCCUACGUGAGACAGCAGUAGGGAAUAUUGCACAAUGGGCGCAAGCCUGAUGCAGCCAUGCCGAGUGUGUGAAGAAGGCCUUCGGGUUGUAAAGUACUUUCAGCGAGGAGUCGUAACUCGCAGAAGAAGCACCGGCUAACUCCGUGCCAGCAGCCGCGGUAAUUC